ACGAGAUCUUCGGAUCUAGUGGCGCACGGGUGCGUAACGCGUGGGAAUCUGCCCUUCGGUUGGGAAUAACUGAGAGAAAUUUCAGCUAAUACCUUAUAAUGUCUUCGGACCAAAGAUUUAUCGCCGAGGGAUGAGCCCGCGUAGGAUUAGGUAGUUGGUGGGGUAAUGGCCUACCAAGCCGACGAUCCUUAGCUGGUCUGAGAGGAUGAUCAGCCACACUGGGACUGAGACACGGCCCAGACUCCUACGGGAGGCAGCAGUGGGGAAUAUUGGACAAUGGGCGAAAGCCUGAUCCAGCAAUGCCGCGUGAGUGAUGAAGGCCUUAGGGUUGUAAAGCUCUUUUACCAGGGAUGAUAAUGACAGUACCUGGAGAAUAAGCUCCGGCUAACUCCGUGCCAGCAGCCGCGGUAAUACGGAGGGAGCUAGCGUUGUUCGGAAUUACUGGGCGUAAAGCGCGCGUAGGCGGUUACUCAAGUCAGAGGUGAAAGCCCGGGGCUCAACCCCGGAACUGCCUUUGAACUAGGUAACUAGAAUCUUGGAGAGGUCAGUGGAUUCCGAGUGUAGAGGUGAAUUCGUAGAUAUUCGGA
rnacentral:rRNA from 1 species